AGAGUUGAUAAUUACCAGAGACGCUUCUGGGCAUUGUUCCCCACCUUCCAACCACUGGAGAGUGACUUCAGUUCUGAACUCUACCAGUUUUGCUCUAAGAAAUGUUGAAGUAUUGCUCAUCAAAGGAAAAAGGCAGACUGGGCUCUGAAUGAAGAAAACCAAUCUCAGGAAAGGCUCAGGCAAAGGAAAGCAAGGAAAGAUUGGCAUUACUUAUCUAUUGCAUCACGUUCAGCGAGUUUACACAGCUAUCUCUGAACAGUAGCCCCAAAAGCCUGGAACAAUGACACCCCAGAUGACAGUCCUGCUCAGGGUUACAAGAAGGAUCAGCUCAAAUGAUUUUCCCUGGCCCACUGAGCAAGCCAAGCCGAGAACUUUAGGCUGAUGUAAUACAGAAUUUUACUCAGUAAAAUCCCAUAUCAGUUGACAACAGGAGGAAAACAUGAAGAACCAGCUCAAAUAAUGACUUUGUUCAAGAUGGAAUUCAAGUGAAGGCACGAGUGCAGCGUACUUCAUGUGAGCAGAAAAAUAAAAAACAGACAUGAAAAAUAAAGCACAAUUUGUGGAGAAAAAUCAAAAGGCAAAGUAUUUUCUAUUUAUCACCACAGCACUUCAGACCUCUAGAACACUCAGCAAAAUGGGAUGUGAUGGAGAGAUUAUAAAUUCACUUUGGAGAAGGAGAGCAGAAUACUGGGAAAUGCUGCCCUUGACCCUGAGAAGUGAUAUUGGCUGGGCUGAAAUAAUCUGUGCAAUCACUCAAAUUUUUCAUAAUAAACACUGCAAGAGGAGAGAAAACACAGGUGGUGCAAUACAUAUAAGGUGCCAGCAAAAUGUGAAAAUUAAAAGGCUUUUAUUGACUGAUAUGUUCUUCCUGAAAACUUAUUGAAAUGUACAAACUGGACAUUCAGUAACUGAUUUGUACAUUCAGUUAUGUUACACUGAUUCUUGUAGCCACUUGAAAGAGAGGGUAUUAUUUUCACUGACAGGAUGUUCACAUCAUUGCAGACACCAAAAGUGUUGAUA